UCAAUCAAAUUUCAUGGGUUUAACAUCAACAUUUCAUCAUUUCCACUAUGCAAUCAAAUUUCAUUGAAUUAACAACAAAGUUUUCAUCAUUCACACAAUCCAAUCAAAUUUCCUAAUUUAAACAAUAACAUUUUCAUCAUGCACACAAUUCAAUUAAAUUUCAUGGGUUUAACAACAACAUUUUCAUCAUUCACACAAUUCAAUC
rnacentral:lncRNA from 1 species